rnacentral:miRNA from 1 species
GACUUCGAUAUUCGACGUCAUAAACACGAACAACUUUGGUGUUUAUGACGUCGAUAUUCGACGUCAUAAACACGAACAAGUUUGCUGUUUAUGACGUCGAUAUUCGACGUC